rnacentral:rRNA from 1 species
UUCCGGUUGAUCCCGCCGGACCCCACUGCUAUCGAGGUGGGACUUGGCCAUGCUAGUCGAACGAACAGAACUAUGUCUGUAAGUGGCAUACUGCUCAGUAACACGUAGCUAACCUACCCUUAGGACGUCGAUAACCCCGAGAAAUUGGGGCUAAUAGGCGAUAGAUGUAUUGUCCUGGAAUGGUAAUAUGUCCAAAGGUAUCCCAUACAUGUUUGGUAUACGCCUAAGGAUGGGGCUGCGGCCGAUCAGGCUGUUGGUGAGGUAAUGGCUCACCAAACCUUUGACCGGUAUGGGCCAUGAGAGUGGUAGCCCAGAGAUGGACACUGAGACAAGGGUCCAGGCCCUACGGGGCGCAGCAGGCGCGAAACCUCCUCAAUGCACUAACGUGCGAAGGGGUUACCUCGAGUGCCACCUGAAGAAGGUGGCUUUUCCUUGGUCUAAAAAGCCUAGGGAAUAAGAGGAGGGCAAGACUGGUGUCAGCCGCCGCGGUAACACCAGCCCCUCGAGUGGUGGGGAUGAUUAUUUGGCCUAAAGCGUCCGUAGCCGGCCGGGUAAGUUUCCCGUUAAAUCCAGCGUCUCAAGCGUUGGACUGCGGGAAAUACUGCCUGGCUAGAGAGUGGGAGAGGUCAGCGGUAUUCUGGGGGUAGGGGCGAAAUCCUUUGAUCCCCGGAGGACCACCAGUGGCGAAGGCUGCUGACUAGAACACGUCUGACGGUCAGGGACGAAAGCUGGGGUAGCGAACCGGAUUAGAUACCCGGGUAGUCCCAGCCGUAAACGAUGCAUGCUAGGUGUUGGGUU